AUAGAUGAUCAUAUCAGUAUUAGUGCAUUUGGUCUCAUCAGAACUCAAAACUACGAAGUUAAGCAUAUUUAGGCAAAAGUAGUAUUAGGAUGAAUGGACCUUCUGAUAAAUCUUUGUCUUGUAUCCU
rnacentral:rRNA from 1 species